AAGUUGCCCAAGUUGGUUCUUGAACUUCUCUUUCCACUUGAUUAAAUUACAAUUGACAAAUAUUUAGCUUGCAGGACAGAUGAAGUAGAGUUGUUUGCUAUGACUACUCAGAAUGCAUACAAGCAAUUACAUGACAACGAAGCUCAUUCAAAACCGAUAACAGUAUGACAGUGAACUGCAUAUAUAUUAUUUUUAAUACUUCUAACUUGAGUUUCAGUUUCUUAUCGUCCUUCGAGCAGAUGCAUAAACUGAAGAAAGUUGCACAAGGCAGAGUCUGUGUUGCUGCUAUAGCAAAACAGAAGGUGAAGAUACUCCUGGACAAAAGGUUUGGUUGGACUAUAAUUUAACUUUAUAUGAAUGAUGCAUUUACAUAGUGAAAUGAAAUUAAGUUUGUGUUCAGUUAUUUUUGGGACGUAUAUUGACUUCUAUUUGAUUGUUAAUCCUGUGUUAAAUCAUUUCUUGGACAUAUGUUUGCUUAUGUUUGAUUGCAAUAUCAUGCAUUGAUCUAUGAAAAUGACAGAAUUUAAUAAUUACAUCAUGGCAGAUCUCUUACCAUUCGCAUUAGGUAUUCUAUAUAUUAAUCAUCAUUAUAUUAAGUAACUUUGUUAUGUUUCAUAACUUAUAUAGCUUUAUACAGUGGUAGAGAGAUGGUAAAAAAACUUUCACCGUUAUGAGAUUCUUUUUGUAUGUUAGACGGGAACUUUUCAGUAGGAGCGCUGAGAAAAAUACACACAAUUUUGAUGGGCCUAAAGCUGGCUCAAGUUUGCAUCAUUGUGAUAAAGUGUCAUAUUAUGUGGUAAAAGCUAAUAAUAUCGCUGGAAAUCAUCAUGCGAAUCAUAAAGAGAGUGAGGAUUUACUCUUAAUAUGCAAGCAGCUUCUUCAAAUUGAAACCAGCAAUCCACUUUGUUUGAUUUACUUUAGGUAAAAUUCUCAACCUUGGAAAUAUGCCUUCUAAUAGAAGUAUCUCUUCCCAUGUACAUCAUUGUAGCAACAUGAAAGUCAAAUUAUUUAAUUUGGACGAUGCCUUUUGGGAAUAAUCUUUGGACCAGGUCACUAACUUUUCCUUUGGCCAAUGAAGCAAACUAUCCAACUUAAAUUUUAUUGGCCUUAAUUUUAUCUCUACACAGUUAUGUUGGGAGCAUCACGCCACAUGAAUCCGGUCUUUUUAAGUUUCCGCAAAUAUUCUACUUCCUUGAUUAGACUUCUUUCUCCUGUAAAUUUUAAUGUAGGUUUUGAUUGGGUCAUCACAAAAUAAUGUGGUCUUGGAAUUAUGUGUUUAUAGCCUAGAGCUGUCCUUGGAAGAGAUCUCGCUUGAUAAGGAUAUCAGGUACUCGCUCUGCAGGGACCACAUGUUGCAAGCUUCCUGUUGCAGUAGACAUAUUAUAUUCAGAGUUUUGGAAGGGAACAGAAGAUAAUACAGGUUAUAAGGCACAAAUGGCAAUGAAAAAUGGAACCAAAUUGGAGAAUAAAAGAGCAAGUCUUCAGAAUACCAAUGGCUUCAUUGUGAAUCUUUUGGCAGAAGUCCAUAGCAACUGCCAGGGGAUAUCAAAGAUUGUCUAACUAUGAACUUAUCGUAGUUGGUUUUGCUCUUAGAUUCCAUCCUAAAGCCUUAAGAUCAAUAUUGUA
rnacentral:lncRNA from 1 species